rnacentral:rRNA from 1 species
UAGCUACAGGCUUAACACAUGCAAGUCGAGGGGAAACGAUAUCGAAAGCUUGCUUUUGAUGGGCGUCGACCGGCGCACGGGUGAGUAACGCGUAUCCAACCUGCCCACCACUUGGGGAUAACCUUGCGAAAGUAAGACUAAUACCCAAUGACGUCUCUAGAAGACAUCUGAAAGAGAUUAAAGAUUUAUCGGUGAUGGAUGGGGAUGCGUCUGAUUAGCUUGUUGGCGGGGUAACGGCCCACCAAGGCGACGAUCAGUAGGGGUUCUGAGAGGAAGGUCCCCCACAUUGGAACUGAGACACGGUCCAAACUCCUACGGGAGGCAGCAGUGAGGAAUAUUGGUCAAUGGACGAGAGUCUGAACCAGCCAAGUAGCGUGCAGGAUGACGGCCCUAUGGGUUGUAAACUGCUUUUAUAAGGGAAUAAAGUGAGUCUCGUGAGACUUUUUGCAUGUACCUUAUGAAUAAGGACCGGCUAAUUCCGUGCCAGCAGCCGCGGUAAUACGGAAGGUCCGGGCGUUAUCCGGAUUUAUUGGGUUUAAAGGGAGCGUAGGCCGGAGAUUAAGCGUGUUGUGAAAUGUAGACGCUCAACGUCUGCACUGCAGCGCGAACUGGUUUCCUUGAGUACGCACAAAGUGGGCGGAAUUCGUGGUGUAGCGGUGAAAUGCUUAGAUAUCACGAAGAACUCCGAUUGCGAAGGCAGCUCACUGGAGCGCAACUGACGCUGAAGCUCGAAAGUGCGGGUAUCGAACAGGAUUAGAUACCCUGGUAGUCCGCACGGUAAACGAUGGAUGCCCGCUGUUGGUCUGAAUAGGUCAGCGGCCAAGCGAAAGCAUUAAGCAUCCCACCUGGGGAGUACGCCGGCAACGGUGAAACUCAAAGGAAUUGACGGGGGCCCGCACAAGCGGAGGAACAUGUGGUUUAAUUCGAUGAUACGCGAGGAACCUUACCCGGGCUUGAAUUGCAGAGGAAGGAUUUGGAGACAAUGACGCCCUUCGGGGCCUCUGUGAAGGUGCUGCAUGGUUGUCGUCAGCUCGUGCCGUGAGGUGUCGGCUUAAGUGCCAUAACGAGCGCAACCCCUCUCCUUAGUUGCCAUCAGGUCAAGCUGGGCACUCUGGGGACACUGCCACCGUAAGGUGUGAGGAAGGUGGGGA